ACACACUUGCUGACCUUGCUGCAUCUCUCCGUCACCGCGCAGGCGUGACCUGCUCUCUUUUUGUUCCUCCCCUUCUGAUGGGGUGCCUAGCAGUGCACCUCUCGGCGCCCUUAGUCGUCGCGCUGCAUGGCAGACAGGUGAUGGAGCAGCUGUCGGAUUAGGUCAUGCAGAUCAACGGGGCCACAAGCCUUCUGAGCCACUGCCAGCACCGCUGUCAUCGCAAUCAUCCAUUUGCGUAUUGCAGGCUAGAGGCGGCGACUCUGCCGUACCGCCGUUCUCGCACUCACUUCGCUGCGUACUCGCGCUGGACGUUGCAUCGGGGCAGGAUGUGAAUUGAGGCUUCUGCCGUGCUCCUUUCACGUGUACGCGGCACGCGCUCUCUACCGGAUCGCUUUUCGAAGUGGAUCGUUCCAUGCUGCAGGAUCGACCGAAAUAAGCACGGCAGCACGAGAGUCGCACACGCACGUCUGGCGGUGAGCUGGCAGGCGCGCGCCGCUAAUCCACCGGCGCCGUCCGAGGGAGGCGCUCAUAGAAGCAUGCUCGGCCUGCUGGGUGCCAUGACUGGUGAGAAGUCCACACACUUGCUUAGCUCCCUGAAGCUGGUAACAUCCCUGACAACAAUAGUCGACAAUGGAGUGUCGCCGGCCGACUGUCUGUCGACACCAAACAGACGGCGGUGCACGGGGGUCUGAAACGAGCGCAGUCUAGCCUGUGCAGCGGGACAUCUGCGCGCCGCAUGAGACCACUUCUGACAAGUCUUUUGCACACAACACAAGCGCAGCGGCCCCUUUUUUCUCUCAAGGGCAUCAUUAGUGUCUGCUGGCGCUCAGUCGAGGUGAUGUGGGCGCACGUGUAUGUGCUCAAGCGGGAGCCCCAGUGAGGCGUUUCUGUGCAGCAGCGCGAAGACCUCCUCCGUUGCACAGUCUCUGCCCAGCACCUGAUUUUGAUGAAGCGAAUGAGUUAUCCAAACGCGUGAAUGCUGCACCGCCGUGGCCGCGCAGCGCUAACCAGCCUCCUCGAAGCCCUGUGGGGAUGUGCGACGGCUUCUGUUUCUUCCGCUUGCCGUCUGUGAUCUCUCCAGUCGAUUUCAUGCAGGGUACAAUGCACCUUGGCGACCUUUCUGAGGAUACGGCUAACCGGGAUGCGAGAAAAUCCACAUGGAUGACGGCUACUCUCGAGAGAGAGAAGUGACGCGGCGAAACCAACUUCCGAAGUGGUGAUGGUAACGACCCUUUCAGAGUCGGUUAGUCAUGACCGUGCCACCGCUCGCAGUGAGAACAACCCUAGCACAUUACUCGCGCCUCAGUCUACCCAGGCGGUACCGACAGAUGGUGGGCGGCAGACUCCUACCUCGACAGCCUCGUCACCGUUGUCGUUUCCGCGACCGCUCUCUGUCGCGCAGCGCGGGAGUUGUUCUCCCGAAGCGCUUCCAGUUUUGCCGACUGCUUUUGUCUGUACCGGGGCACGCAGCAACGCAGCAUAUCCCGGUGUAAAGAACACCAGCGCGUGGCCUCUGCUCGUAGUUUCUCAAGUUACUCGUCAGAGAGGGAACCCGCCGACGCAGAUAACGGUAGAUCGGACGCAUGCUUUGGUCGCUGGGGAGUCUGUCGCCUCGCCCAACGCACCACUGCCAUUCGAGUGCCUUCCGUUACCGCAGCUCUCACGCGGCCCCGCGCUGGCAGAUGCACUUCCUGGGCAAUGUGCAUCGUCAGAGUUGGCCUCUACUGCGGUGCGUGCCCUCGAUGGAAGCCACCUCCUUCCUGACGAUGGAAGCGGCGCCGCUGUCCACUCCCUCCUGCUGCAGAGGGAGGGCGCAUCUGUGAUUUAUCCGUAUCACCGUCAGUGGCUCUCGCCGCGCCUCCGCAAGCUGCUUCACCUUAGGUCGAAGACCCCCCACCCUUGCUGCGUGUGGUAUCUUCCGCAGCUAGAAGCUGCACAUGCUCAGCGCUUCGUUUAACGGGUAGUGCGUUGGCGAGCACCUUCUCUGCACUGCUGGCGGAAGACGCCGCUGCCCGCGCGUCCCUCGGCAGUACAGAGCACUGUGAGUACCCGACGGAAGUCUUGCCUUUGGCGCAGGGAGAUGGCGAAUAAAGUAGCAAGGCGAUGCCAUCAGCCCUUUCUCUCUCUCUCUGUGUGCGUGUGUGUGUGUGUGCGUGCGUGUGCGUGUGCGUGUGCGUGUGUGUGUGUGUGCGUGUGCGUGUGCGUGUGCCGCUCAAGGUGUCGACGCUUUCACUUGCGGCGCACUGCUUUGGAGCGUUCUCACGGAGACAAAAACGUAUAUAUAUAUAUACCUUCCAUUGAUGAACGCUUCUCUCUCUCGUGCACGAGACGUCGCUGUCCUCUGACUCUGUCAUGCCUGCUUGGGUGAUGUCGCCACGUGCGUGUGCGCGCGUUCC
rnacentral:misc_RNA from 1 species